AAUGGUGGUUAUAGCGAGGGUGUUCACCUCUUCCCAUUCCGAACAGAGAAGUUAAGCCCCUCAGCGCUGAUGGUACUAGGUAAAACCUGGGAGAGUAGGUCGCCGCCAGUU
rnacentral:rRNA from 1 species